UAAGGGCCCCUUCUGUGUUU
rnacentral:tRNA from 1 species